AUGCACACGGUUAUCAUCUUCCAGCCGUGCUCGCGAUGCUCGGCUUCGAGCUGUGCCCGCAACGCUCGUUUUCAAUCCGUGCGAUGCCCCAAAAGCUUGCAGAAAGCUCGCGGCCUUCGGCAGACCCCGAGCCCCGGCGCCCUCGCAGCCCUCUCCCUUCUCCUUGCAGCCACGGCCAAAGCGCCCGACGUCUACGCGCUCAAGCCCUGCGGCUGCGACGAGGGAAACGUCACCGUGGCCUGCCUCGUGAACGACUUCUUCCCCGAGACCGCCACCGUCACCUGGGUUUCCAGCGAGCCCUACGAGGUCUUGACCUACCCGGCCGUGGUGGUCAGCAACAGCCUGUACAGCCUCAGCAGCCAGCUCACGACGCCCACCAGCAACCUGCAGGGCAACGCCAUCCAGUGCAACGUGAACCACAGCCCCACAAGCACGGAAAUCUCCAAGAACAUCGGAGACUUAUGCAGCAACCCACAGGUAAAAAUCCUGAGCUUUUCAGAGAAUAAUGAUGAGGUCCUGCUGCUCUGCCUCAUCGAGGGACUCCCAGACGGCCCGGCCACAGUGGAAUGGCUGAAGAACCGAGAGGUGGUGACGCUGCCCCAGGUGGACUACAGCUGCGACAAGUGCUCCAACAACCAGGCCGUGCAGUCGAGUCAGGUCAACGUCAGCCGACAAAGCUGGGACCGGGGCUCCGAGUUCGCUUGCCGAGUGUCCCACGCGUCGCUGACGGAGCCGAUCAUGCGCACCAUCAGCAACUCCUGCCCAGAUAUCGCCCUGCCCGUGGUCUCCAUCCUCCCGCCUUCCUUGGAGGACCUCUACCUCAGCCAGAACGCCAGCAUCACCUGCGUGGUGGCCAACGUCAAGACGCCCGCCGACGUCAGGUUCUCCUGGCAGCGGCAGAAGGGCAGCGCUCUGGACGUGACCUCCGAGGAGCCGGUGCAGCAAGGCGAUGGCCUCUACCGCGUCACCAGCGUGCUGAAGGUGUGCGCCGAGGAGUGGAACUCCGGCGAGGUCUUCACCUGCACCGUGGCCAGCUCCGAGCUCUCCUCGCCCGUCACCAAAUCUGCACAGAAGGAACUAGGUAGGCGCUCACCCUUUCCUGCCCUUCUCCUCUGCCCCGCUCUGAGCCCCCCACCCCGGGGGCACAGCGGGGUCGGCAGCGAGGGAAGAGCAGGUCUAGGCCAGUUGGCUGGAAGAGUCGAAUCGACUCGGGGAGUCAACUGGGAAGGGCUGCUGGGAGAGCCUAGGCUACUGGGAGAGUCGACUGGGCCAGGCCAUGGGAAGGGGUUAGUCUACUGGGAGAGUCUAGCCUGCUGGGAGGGUCAAGUGGGCCGUUCCAGUUAGGCUACUGGAAGGGUCUAGCCUCCUGGGAGAGCCAACUGGGCCAGGCUGCUGGAAGGGUCUCAUCUACUGGAAGGGUCUAGCCUACUGGAAGGGUCUAGCCUCCUGGGAGAGCCAACUGGACCAGGCUGCUGGAAGGGUCUUGUCUACUGGAAGGAUGUAGUCUACUGGGAGAGCCAACUGGACCAGGCUGCUGGAAGCGUCUCGGCUGCUGGAAGGGUCUUGACUACUGGAAGGGUCUAGCCUCCUGGGAGAGCCAACUGGGCCAGGCUGCUGGAAGGGUCUUGACUACAGGAAGGGUGUAGUCUACUAGGAGAGCCAACUGGGCUGGUCUACUGGAAGGGUCUUGUCUACUGGAAGGGUCUAGCCUACUGGAAGAGCCAACUGAGCUAGUCUACUGGAAGGGUCUUGUCUACUGGAAGGGUCUUGUCUAC